UAACCGCUACUGAUAUUAUCUCAUCGACUAGUAGUAAGGGCACUCCCUUAUCGUUAAUCCUAGGCAAGUUCUUAGAUUCGUUGUACUGCGGUAAUGAAUAAUCCUGUUGGCCGACUGGGGCGUUUGAAAACCUGGUACUUGUAAACAAGAAACAGCUAAAGAACGACUUAUCAUUUUAUUCUAACAGUGCGCAGGGCGAUGUUUCGUUAACUUCGCCAUUACUUGUACUAGUUUUAUGUACCGAAACAUGUCUUACAGUAUGAAUCACGCUUGUCUGGAGUGCCCAAGCCGUUCAUUCAGCCGCCUUGUUUUGCAAAGGUACGCAGAGAGUGACGCCGUACCGCACACGGUCAUACGGCAAGAUGCAAAAAUUCGAAUGUAACAGAGUUGGAAAAACGCCAAUGUUUUACUAAUACAAAAAAAAUGGAGCCAUAAAAGAAUUUAAACUAGACAUGUCAGCCUCAUCAUUGUACAAAGUAUUCACGAAGAUAAUUUCGAAUAGGAUAAGAGCCAAGUAAACUUGACUUUGAAGGGACCCUGAAACUGUCUUUGAAAUUUUUUGUAAGAAUUUAUUCUACAUCAUCAUCAAAUCAUUUGCACCAUGAAUUGAGCCACGCACAGCAUACCAAGGCAACUGCAAGCAAUUAUAGUGACACCCUCCUCGACCCUGCUUUGCCUCCUCAACUUGUCAAACAGCCAACCGUCACGCGCACUCGACAGGUCAAGCUCCAUCGAGCACGCGCCGUCAGGCAACAGAGACCAAGUGUGUGGAAGAUCUGCUCUGCAAUGUGCCACCACACUACCAGCUGUUCUUAUAUUCUCUUGUACGGUGACCAUCUCCAAAAGCAUGCGGACAAACAAAAGGAGCAACACAGUAGGAUGACUAAAGGACGCAACACUUCUGGACGGGAAUUACAUGUUCAAGAAUUGUUUUGAAAUGUACAAGGAAGAUAUUGGCAUUCUCCUUGCGCCAUCAGCUGUUCAACAUCUGCGAGCUGCAAAGGCUCUCCUGUAUGACAAGGAAGCAGUAGACGCGUCAUUCGCAAUGCUCAUUUUAUGUGCUUCCAAGGGAUGCAGCCAAAGGACGACCUGCGGAUGUGCGAGUCACGUUUAUGGGAGCUGCAAAAAAGAAUUAAAGUGUAUCCCCAGUGUUUGUUAUAUACUUUUAUUAUACUAUAACAGUAUAUUUCUGAACAAACCAUCUGAAACAUGGCGGAUUGGUGGCACUGCAGAAAGCCUAUGAAUGCUUGUCAAAGCAUAGAAAUACACAAAGCAGCAUAAAAUCUUGCCACUUGUGUGGCCGUUGCAUCUUUCCCUUGCCCCAAGGAAGCGGACUUACGAGCUGCCGUCCAAGGACGCGGCACAUGCUCAACAUAAAUUUUUCUCACUUAAAACAAAAAUCACUAUAAUUAAACUUUCAGAAUCGAAUUUCCUUUGUACACCCUUCGAAACAAGUGCAAUUUUAAUUUGACUGCAUCACCAAACUGCAUGUGCCUGAACAUAAGUCAUGCAUUUCUUUAACUCACUCUCAAUUCCAAAUAGCGUUACAGAGGAGAGUUGUUAAUACAUGUACAUUAUACAAUGUUAAGCAAGGCAGCUUGAAAAGAUUAAUGGUCUGGGUUAUUGGCGACAAAGGCGAGGAGGUGGUUCUAUUCAGAUGCUGUCUUUGGCAGAAUUGAAUCGAAAAAAAAAAAAAGUUCGUGUGGCAAUUUGGUACUUGGACUUUGAUGUGGUCUAUUCGUAUUUCUGUGUAUAUGGGUGGUGCGACACCCCAUUUACACAUUUUUCUAUGUUUGCGCCCCUCAUUCUUUGAAACUUCUCGGUCAUCGACUUCCAUACUUUUAUGACACACUUACUGGCAACUAUCCUGGCAUGUGGUGUUAUUGUAUUGUGUUGAUAUACAUUGUGGAAUUUUUUAAAAAUUCUCAGAAUGGACGCAGAAUGGCCUUUUUGCUUCACCACAAAGCAUAUCGCGAGACUGAAUAGCGGACGCAAUGGGAGGAAAUAAGAAAUCACCAUUCCUUUUCUAGCAACCACUAUGGCAACGUUCAAAUCCCUCCCAAGGACACAGAAAAAAAUUUUCUUACAAUGACAGUUUCAUGAAGGAAGCCGAAUAUUGCACAAAAAUGCUUGGCCACGAUUUUUAGAACAGAAUCUUGAGAAGUACGAGUGCAAUGUCGCGGACGUUUGGCAUAGAAGGACCCCAUCAAAGAGACGCGCCACGGUGGUGUGGUUAUCCAAAGGGCGCGGGAACGAAUCCCGGCCACGGCGGCCGCAUUUAACUUGUAAAGGAUGAGCGAUAGACGUUAAUGAUACCCUGAGACGAGAGACGAUUCUGUACAAAUGCUGUGUGGCCAGGUUUAUGUGACUACAGGUUGUCUAAAUCGUCUUGGUAUACUUUAAAUAUUGCAAUCUAUGCACACUGCUCUGAAGCCCAUAUUUCUGUCCACCUUUUCUUGGAGAGCAAUUUCAUUCGUACAAUCUCACUUCUUUCCAUGUGGUGUCUAUUUGUAACCAUGCGGAAGAACAAAUGCGAUAUCGUUUUAAAAAUCCGGACAGAAAGUUCUAGUUCGUUGGAAUCGAUCGAGAACUGAGGACAUGUUUCGAACGAGAACAGAAAACACGAUGCGUCGUCUAUUCUCUAAAGUCCGUGUAUGCGCAGCUCACGCUCUUCCACAUUAAACACGCAGGCCUUGGUCGCUAUAGUUAACGCGAUAUUAAAGCAGAAAAGCGUCAUUCCCAAAUGCAAGGGCAGCGGUAGCAGUAGAAGCACUACAUAUUCGCCUUACCACGCGGGCCGCGCAAGCUUGUGCAGGAUGCAGUGGCGUUUUGCUUACCUUCUGACGACCAGUAGGCAAAGUGUCGCAUAUCAUAUAUUGGUGCUUGAUGCUCCGGGUGGUGCUACAUAUGACCACCGCGUAUAUAUACAUAUAGAUUUCACAAUGUCACGUAGAACAGCGCAGAAGUUUGGAAGUUGUACGCACGCGUUGGAGCCAGAAAAGUAAACAGGAAGUCGCCAUGACGCUUGCAGCAGGAAGCAGGUGGCGCUUCACGCAAUCAGAAACCUAAACCGAAAUCGCGAUUUUUAAGCGCCUUCAAUCGAUCCGUCAUUUGCGGGCGCCAAUCAUAAAUGCAUAAAAUAGAGAACUUUUUCUCCAUGGGAAACAUUU